rnacentral:rRNA from 1 species
GUCUACAGCCAUCACACCCCCAGCACACCUGAUCAUGUCUGAUCUCUGAAGCUAAGUACAUCAGGCCCGGUAGGAACUUGGCUGGGAGGCUCUGUUUAACUGUGCUGCAGCCU